rnacentral:rRNA from 1 species
AUUGAACGCUGGCGGCAUGCCUUACACAUGCAAGUCGAACGGCAGCACGGGAGCAAUCCUGGUGGCGAGUGGCGAACGGGUGAGUAAUAUAUCGGAACGUGCCCAGUCGUGGGGGAUAACGCAGCGAAAGCUGUGCUAAUACCGCAUACGAUCUAAGGAUGAAAGCGGGGGAUCGCAAGACCUCGCGCGAUUGGAGCGGCCGAUAUCAGAUUAGCUAGUUGGUGGGGCAAAGGCCCACCAAGGCGACGAUCUGUAGCUGGUCUGAGAGGACGACCAGCCACACUGGAACUGAGACACGGUCCAGACUCCUACGGGAGGCAGCAGUGGGGAAUGUUGGACAAUGGGCGCAAGCCUGAUCCAGCAAUGCCGCGUGCAGGAUGAAGGCCUUCGGGUUGUAAACUGCUUUUGUACGGAACGAAACGGCCCUUUCUAAUACAGGGGGCUAAUGACGGUACCGUAAGAAUAAGCACCGGCUAACUACGUGCCAGCCGCCGCCGUAAGAC